GGGGAUCUAGCUCAGCGGCAUAAGCGCCUGCCUUGCAAGCAGGCAGUCGUGAGUUUGAUCCCUG
rnacentral:tRNA from 1 species